CCAAACGACUCUCGGCAACGGAUAUCUCGGCUCUCGCAUCGAUGAAGAACGUAGCGAAAUGCGAUACUUGGUGUGAAUUGCAGAAUCCCGUGAACCAUCGAGUCUUUGAACGCAAGUUGCGCCCGAAGCCAUCAGGCCUAGGGCACGUCUGCCUGGGCGUCA
rnacentral:rRNA from 6 species